GAUGAACGCUGGCGGCGUGCCUAAUACAUGCAAGUCGAGCGAACAGACGAGGAGCUUGCUCCUCUGACGUUAGCGGCGGCCGGGUGAGUAACACGUGGAUAACCUCCCUAUACGACUGGGAUCACUUCGGGACACCGGAGCUAAUACCGGAUAAUAUCUUGAUCCACAUGGUUCAAUAGUGAAUGACGGUUUUGCUGUCACUUAUAGAUGGAUCCGCGCCGCAUUAGCUAGUUGGUAAGGAAACGGCGUACCAAGGCGACGAUGCGUAGCCGACCUGAAGGGCUGGUCGGCCACACUGGAACUGGGACACGGUCCAGACUCCUACGGUACGCAUCAGUAGGGUAUCUUCCGCAAUGGUGGAAAGCCUGACGGAGCAACGCCGCGUGAGUGAUGAAGGCCUUCUGAGCGUAAAACUCUGUUAUUAGGGAAGAACAAAUGUGUAAGUACCUAUGCACGUCUUGACGGUACCUAAUCAGAAAGCCACGGCUAACUACGUG
rnacentral:rRNA from 1 species